rnacentral:rRNA from 1 species
GCAGCAGCCGCGGUAAUACGUAGGUCCCGAGCGUUGUCCGGAUUUAUUGGGCGUAAAGCGAGCGCAGGCGGUUAGAUAAGUCUGAAGUUAAAGGCUGUGGCUUAACCAUAGUACGCUCUGGAAACUGUUUAACUUGAGUGCAAGAGGGGAGAGUGGAAUUCCAUGUGUAGCGGUGAAAUGCGUAGAUAUAUGGAGGAACACCGGUGGCGAAAGCGGCUCUCUGGCUUGUAACUGACGCUGAGGCUCGAAAGCGUGGGGAGCAAACAGGAUUAGAUACCCCAGUAGUCCCUGUCUCUUAUACA